GAACCUGCGAAAGGAUCAUUA
rnacentral:rRNA from 2 species